AUUGCAGCUGCCUCUCCCGCCGAGUUGGAGACGGAUGGGCUGGGACGGGUUUUGGGGGGGUGUCCCCAAUUCUGACUGGGAGUGGAGGAACCCCUCCUGAGAUCUCUUGUGGGGGUGCCCCCUCCCCAGGGCACUCCCCAGUCCCUGAGCCAGCCGAGAGGAAGGAGGCCAGCGAUGCGACUGGGGCGGCUCCUUUCUCCUGCACCCCAAAUGUGAGGGAUGCACCCUAAAUUUUGCUCUUUUCAAAAUAGGGGACCAGGAUCUCAGGGGAGAGUAGCUGAGGCCUUGCUCGGAGUCCCAGGAGAUCCACAGGUCCGGCAUGAACAGUGAGAGGUCAGAGGUGGAAGGCUCAGCAGGAGAGGAGAGGAGGAUCAGCAGAGGUCAUGAGAAGGCCAGAAUCCAGGGUCAGGCUGUCUGGAACAGGAAGUAAAAUGGGCCGAGAUGGAGCGAGCCCCCAGUGUGCUUCCAAGGCCACUCCCACCUCCCUGAAACACCCUGCUACGUACUGAUCCAAUGCCCUGCGCUGUGUAUGAGAGCACCUUCUCUUCUGAAACCCCUAUACAAGGGAGGGGCCCCUGCGGAGACCGUGCCCUGCCAUCCAGGUCACCUUGCCUUCAGGGACCUGGGCUUUCAGCUGUCCAUACCUGGCCCUGGUUGAUGGCGGCAUGCUGGGCAGUGCACGUGAAGACGCACAUGAGACAGCAUCUCGUAUGUUGCCCAGGCUGGCCUUGAAAGCCUGGCCU
rnacentral:lncRNA from 1 species